rnacentral:rRNA from 1 species
AAACUUUCAACAACGGAUCUCUUGGUUCUCGCAUCGAUGAAGAACGCAGCGAAAUGCGAUACGUAGUAUGACUUGCAGACGUGAAUCAUUGAAUUUUUGAACGCACAUUGCGCCUUUAGGUAU